UUUGUGACAUUGUCCCUUUUGUUUCUGUAAACUUAAUGUUUCCUGUUUUAGUUUGUAGUUUAGUCUCUUGUCAUGUUUCACUUCCUGUGCUUAGUGGUCUCACCUGUGUUAGUGUUUCUCCUGUUUCUGCUGUUUUUCAGUCAAUUGUUCUCCAUUGCCUCUUGUGCCUCCUGUGUUUUGUGGAUUUACUUUCCGCUGGACUUUUGGAUUACUCACCUGUUGUAUUUUGGACUCUCUCCACAUCACCUUCGGUAGCAGGAGCUUACGAAACCUACAGCGAAGCUGAUUGGACCUGUCUGCUGUGAGGCAACAGCGGAUCCUCGAGCGGCAGCGGCAGAAUACUACAGACUUCCAACGUCAGUGUAAGAUUUCCUUCUUGGCUGGCUAUAGGAGUAACUGAAAGCUGACCUGGGAGUCAGAGGAAAGGGGGGCAGAGUCAUUAGGCUGAAUCCAUCCUUGCUGGCAAGGAGCUAUGGGACAGAUCGAGGACACUGGAGUCUCUCCUUCUGAGUCAUUGAGGGUGAAAGCAGACUGUCGGAGCGAAGCUCGUUGGUCUGGAGGUUUCCAUCGCCAGGAGCCACUUCCGUCUGUGCUUGGAGGUCUUACCACUGGUUUGUUUGAUCUGGACUCUGGGUGAGCUUCAACACGGACUAUACUGCCAGAUCUUUCCAGACCUCCUAAAAGAACAAGGCAAAUUAAUCACUCAGUAAUUAUCUUGUACUACUAAGAAUCAGAAUCAUCAUUUUGCGUUUCCUAUAAAUGCAAAGGUGCCUAUAAUGCUGGGACUGCCACAUUGAGGUCUUCAAGAAAAUCAAAAACCUCAUCGAUGCUUGGUUUAUACUAUAUACAGUGUACUGUUUAGCAUGGAUGAUUAUUACUGUCGCACAAAGCGCUUACGCUGUGCACAAGCGAAGAUGAUGUGAUUUGAUGCCGCUGAUCGCAAAAGUGGAGGAAGAGAAAGAAAAUGGUGAGGGACGAAGAAGAGACAGGCCAGAGAAAAAGACGUCCAAAGUUUGGGAUUAUUUUCUAGCUAAAAGAAAACCACAGCUCUGUUCAGGGUGUCUACUAUAAAACAGAAGCAGCCUACCACAACAGUACGACAGCAACGCUUCAGGGUAGCAAAGGUGGAGUGCUACUUUUACAACUGGGAGCCUUUUAACAAAAAGGCUAUGAAGGGCCGCUAUCCGCAAAGCAUGCAGUAUUGAAAUUAUACAAUUUUAUGGUGACUAAAAUAAAUUCCUGAUCAUGUUACAAA